AACUAACGCUGGCGGCGUGCCUAACACAUGCAAGUCGUACGAGAAAGUUGGCUUCGGCCGAUGAGUAAAGUGGCGCACGGGUGAGUAAUGCGUGGAUAAUCUGCCCUUUAGUUGGGAAUAACGUACCGAAAGGUGCGCUAAUACCUGAUAAUACUGCAUAACUACUGUUGUGUAGUCAAAGAAGGCCUCUGUUUACAAGCUUUUGCUGAAGGAUGAGUCCGCGUACCAUUAGCUGGUUGGUGGGGUAAUGGCCUACCAAGGCUACGAUGGUUAGCUGGUCUGAGAGGAUGAUCAGCCACACUGGAACUGAGGCACGGUCCAGACUCCUACGGGAGGCAGCAGUGAGGAAUAUUGCGCAAUGGGGGCAACCCUGACGCAGCAACGCCGCGUGAGUGAGGAAGGUUUUCGGACCGUAAAGCUCUGUCGAGCGGGAAGAAAUGUAUCAUGGCUAAUAUCCAUGAUACUUGACGGUACCGCUAAAGG
rnacentral:rRNA from 1 species